UACGAAGGGGGCUAGCGUUGCUCGGAAUCACUGGGCGUAAAGAGCGCGCAGGCGGUCGUGCAAGUCGCGUGUGAAAGCCCCGGCUCAACUGGGGAGGGUCACGCGAUACUGCUCGACUUGAAGGCAGGAGAGGGAAGUGGAAUUCCCGGUGUAGUGGUGAAAUGCGUAGAGUAUCGGAGGAACACCAGUGGCGAAGGCGACUCCUGGCCUGUUCUUGACGCU
rnacentral:rRNA from 1 species